UAAUCUGUCUGAGGCAGAUCCUCAUCUAGUUAUGAUAGACCCAUACCUGGUUGCCUAGAAUCGCCUGUUAUCGCAAACCCAACUACAUCAAUAGUCGGAUAAAAAGUUAUGGCUCUUUUGAGUUAUUA
rfam:Populus trichocarpa isolate Nisqually-1 chromosome 2, whole genome shotgun sequence.